GUGUCAGCCGCCGCGGUAAUACAGAGGGUGCGAGCGUUAAUCGGAAUUACUGGGCGUAAAGGGCGCGUAGGCGGUCUUGUAAGUUGGAUGUGAAAUCCCUGGGCUUAACCUGGGAACUGCAUUCAAAACUGCUUGACUAGAGUUUGGUAGAGGGUAGUGGAAUUCCCGGUGUAGCGGUGAAAUGCGUAGAUAUCGGGAGGAACAUCAGUGGCGAAGGCGGCUACCUGGACCAGAACUGACGCUGAGGCGCGAAAGCGUGGGGAGCAAACAGGAUUAGAAACCCCAGUAGUCC
rnacentral:rRNA from 1 species